rnacentral:tRNA from 1 species
GCCCCUGUGGCGGAACUGGUAGACGCGCCUGACUCAAAAUCAGGUUUCCGCGAGGAAGUGCUGGUUCGAUUCCGGCCAGGGGCACCA